rnacentral:rRNA from 1 species
AUUGAACGCUGGCGGCAUGCCUUACACAUGCAAGUCGAACGGCAGCACGGGUGCUUGCACCUGGUGGCGAGUGGCGAACGGGUGAGUAAUACAUCGGAACGUACCUUAUCGUGGGGGAUAACGCAGCGAAAGCUGUGCUAAUACCGCAUACGCCCUGAGGGGGAAAGCGGGGGAUCGAAAGACCUCGCGCGAUUAGAGCGGCCGAUGCCUGAUUAGCUUGUUGGUGGGGUAAAAGCCCACCAAGGCGACGAUCAGUAGCUGGUCUGAGAGGACGAUCAGCCACACUGGGACUGAGACACGGCCCAGACUCCUACGGGAGGCAGCAGUGGGGAAUUUUGGACAAUGGGGGAAACCCUGAUCCAGCAAUGCCGCGUGAGUGAAGAAGGCCUUCGGGUUGUAAAGCUCUUUUGUCAGGGAAGAAACACCGGCUCUAACACAUCCGGGAAUGACGGUACC